GAUGAACGCUGGCGGCGUGCCUAAUACAUGCGAGUCGAGCGAACAGACGAGGAGCUUGCUCCUCCGACGUUAGCGGCGGACGGGUGAGUAACACGUGGAUAACCUACCUAUAAGACUGGGAUAACUUCGGGAAACCGGAGCUAAUACCGGAUAACAUGUUGAACCGCAUGGUUUAACAGUGAAAGACGGUCUUGCUGUCACUUAUAGAUGGAUCCGCGCCGCAUUAGCUAGUUGGUAAGGUAACGGCUUACCAAGGCAACGAUGCGUAGCCGACCUGAGAGGGUGAUCGGCCACACUGGAACUGAGACACGGUCCAGACUCCUACGGGAGGCAGCAGUAGGGAAUCUUCCGCAAUGGGCGAAAGCCUGACGGAGCAACGCCGCGUGAGUGAAGAAGGUCUUCGGAUCGUAAAACUCUGUUAUUAGGGAAGAACAAAUGUGUAAGUAACUAUGCACGUCUUGACGGUACCUAAUCAGAAAGCCACGGCUAACUACGUG
rnacentral:rRNA from 1 species